rnacentral:rRNA from 1 species
AACGAACGCUGGCGGCAUGCCUAACACAUGCAAGUCGAACGAGACCUUCGGGUCUAGUGGCGCACGGGUGCGUAACGCGUGGGAAUCUGCCCUUGGUUCGGAAUAACAGUUAGAAAUGACUGCUAAUACCGGAUAAUGUCUUCGGACCAAAGAUUUAUCGCCCAGGGAUGAGCCCGCGUAGGAUUAGCUAGUUGGUGAGGUAAAGGCUCACCAAGGCGACGAUCCUUAGCUGGUCUGAGAGGAUGAUCAGCCACACUGGGACUGAGACACGGCCCAGACUCCUACGGGAGGCAGCAGUGGGAAUAUUGGACAAUGGCGAAAGCCUGAUCCAGCAAUGCCGCGUGAGUGAUGAAGGCCUUAGGGUUGUAAAGCU